CAGUAGCCGCGGUAAUACGAACCGUGCGAACGUUAUUCGGAAUCACUGGGCUUAAAGCGCGUGUAGGCGGAUGGGAGCGUCGGCCUCUGAAAUCCCCCGGCUCAACCGGGGGAGUGGAGCCGAAACGACCCGUCUGGAGGGACGUAGGGGGACCUGGAACUUCCGGUGGAGCGGUGAAAUGCGUUGAGAUCGGAAGGAACGCCCGUGGCGAAAGCGAGGUCCUGGACGUCUGCUGACGCUGAGACGCGAAAGCCAGGGGAGCGAACGGGAUUAGAUACCCCCGUAGUCCCUGUCUCUUAUA
rnacentral:rRNA from 1 species